rnacentral:tRNA from 1 species
GCCGACGUAGCUCACCUGGCAGAGCGCGCCGCUCGUAACGGCGAGGUACCCGGUUCAAGCCCGGGCGUCGGCU